CAAUUAAAAAUAACGUGGGUAGUUCUACAAACUAAAGUAAGUAUCUUUUAAUUCGGUGUAAAUGCAUACGCAGGGAAGGCGAUCGAGGCGCAAAAGCGGUUUGUUACAAACAGUCACAGAAUGUUCAGAUAAUACGACUCCAAUUAAUUUCUUUUCUUUUUUAUAUAUACGUAUAUAGAAGAUAAAUAAUAGUUUUUUUGUUUCCUUUUCAGCUACAAUGAUAACCUUACACAACGGCAAACGUCAGUUGAUGUUCAAGAAUCACUUAUACUUGAAGUUAUACUGCACCCGCGAUUUGAUUCGAUGGCGUUGUACAAAGCAUCCAAAAUGCAAGGCGUGUGUGGUGACGAAUGAAAAUUUAAUAGUCCAAAGUACGCACAAUGAGCACAGUCAUAGCGUCCAACAGCUAUAUGUAACUAAGUAUGAUCCUGAAAUUGACAUGUUGCUUCAUAAAAAAAAGCUUCAUUAUAUAGAACGAGUAACGAACCGUUACAAAUAUUUCUAUUUUUAUUUCCUCAAUGAUGGAAGGAUUUUAGUGCUUCCCAAGAAGUGACAAAACCAAAAAAGGGACAAACGAAAGAAGAAAUAUCAGAAAAAAUAAAGAACGACCCUCAGAAAUUAGCGGCUGAAAAAGAAAAAAGAAAGCGAAUGUAUAAAAAACUGAUAGAAUCUGGCAGAAAAGAACUAAUAUCUGAAAUUUUGGAGUGUGAAAAAAUCCAAGCUCGCGAAAAAUGCAGGGUAUACUCAGAAAGUGACUACAAAAACAAUAAGUUAAAGAUUAACCUAAUGAAUAAUUUUAUUAGAGAAAAUACCCUGUCUAAUUUUAACAAUAACCGUUUGGGUUUUAGCCUCUUAGAUUCCGUAAUCUCAGCAAAUCUUGAUAUAAAUGACCCUCAACCAUUGUCGCCAACGCCAUAGCCAAGAUUUAAAUCAGCACGAGAACGAUAAUAAUGUAUCUUUCAAUUUUUGACAACUUAUUAUUAUUAUUAUUGGGCUUAAUGGCUUUCAGUUAGGUGUAUGAGGAUAAAUUUUUUACGG